rnacentral:rRNA from 1 species
UGGGGGAAUUCUGGACAAUGGGCGAAAGCCUGAUCCAGCAAUGCCGCGUGUGUGAAGAAGGCCUUCGGGUUGUAAAGCACUUUUGUCCGGAAAGAAAUCCUUGGCUCUAAUACAGUCGGGGGAUGACGGUACCGGAAGAAUAAGCACCGGCUAACUACGUGCCAGCAGCCGCGGUAAUACGUAGGGGUGCAAGCGUUAAUCGGAAUUACUGGGGCGUAAAGCGUGCGCAGGCGGUUUGCUAAGACCGAUGUGAAAUCCCCGGGCUCAACCUGGGAACUGCAUUGGUGACUGGCAGGCUAGAGUAUGGCAGAGGGGGGUAGAAUUCCACGUGUAGCAGUGAAAUGCGUAGAGAUGUGGAGGAAUACCGAUGGCGAAGGCAGCCCCCUGGGCCAAUACUGACGCUCAUGCACGAAAGCGUGGGGAGCAAAACAGGAUUAGAUACCCUGGUAGUCCACGCCCUAAACGAUGUCAACUAGUUGUUGGGGAUUCAUUUCCUUAGUAACGUAGCUAACGCGUGAAGUUGACCGCCU